UGGGGAAUAUUGGACAAUGGGCGAAAGCCUGAUCCAGCAAUGCCGCGUGAGUGAUGAAGGCCUUAGGGUUGUAAAGCUCUUUUACCAGGGGAUGAUAAUGACAGUACCUGGAGAAUAAGCUCCGGCUAACUCCGUGCCAGCAGCCGCGGUAAUACGGAGGGAGCUAGCGUUGCUCGGAAUUACUGGGCGUAAAGCGCACGUAGGCGGCCAUUCAAGUCAGAGGUGAAAGCCCGGGGGCUCAACCCCGGAACUGCCUUUGAAACUAGAUGGCUUGAAUCUUGGAGAGGCGAGUGGAAUUCCGAGUGUAGAGGUGAAAUUCGUAGAUAUUCGGAAGAACACCAGUGGCGAAGGCGACUCGCUGGACAAGUAUUGACGCUGAGGUGCGAAAGCGUGGGGAGCAAAACAGGAUUAGAUACCCUGGUAGUCCACGCCGUAAAACGAUGAUAACUAGCUGUCCGGGUUCAUGGAAACUUGGGUGGCGCAGCUAACGCAUUAAGUUAUCCGCCUGGGGGAGUACGGUCGCAAGAUUAAAACUCAAAGGAAUUGACGGGGGUCAUAGCUGUUUCCU
rnacentral:rRNA from 1 species